rnacentral:misc_RNA from 1 species
CUCCUCUACCAACGUGUCGCGUAGUCGCCUCCACCUACG